CCAAAGGCUCUUUUAAGAGCCACCUACGCUUUCUGAAGGAAGUACU
rfam:Heterocephalus glaber contig198602, whole genome shotgun sequence.